rnacentral:rRNA from 1 species
GACGAACGCUGGCGGCGUGCUUAACACAUGCCAGUCGAACGGAAAGGCCCUGCUUUUGUGGGGUGCUCGAGUGGCGAACGGGUGAGUAACACGUGAGUAACCUGCCCUUGACUUUGGGAUAACUUCAGGAAACUGGGGCUAAUACCGGAUAGGAGCUCCUGCUGCAUGGUGGGGGUUGGAAAGUUUCGGCGGUUGGGGAUGGACUCGCGGCUUAUCAGCUUGUUGGUGGGGUAGUGGCUUACCAAGGCUUUGACGGGUAGCCGGUCUGAGAGGGUGACCGGCCACAUUGGGACUGAGAUACGGCCCAGACUCCUACGGGAGGCAGCAGUGGGGAAUAUUGCACAAUGGGCGGAAGCCUGAUGCAGCAACGCCGCGUGCGGGAUGACGGCCUUCGGGUUGUAAACCGCUUUCGCCUGUGACGAAGCGUGAGUGACGGUAAUGGGUAAAGAAGCACCGGCUAACUACGUG